AUAACUGGUUUGAGAGGAUGAUCAGUCACACUGGAACUGAGACACGGUCCAGACUCCUACGGGAGGCAGCAGUGAGGAAUAUUGCACAAUGGGGGAAACCCUGAUGCAGCAACGCCGCGUGGAGGAUGACACUUUUCGGAGCGUAAACUCCUUUUAUAAGGGAAGAUAAUGACGGUACCUUAUGAAUAAGCACCGGCUAACUCCGUG
rnacentral:rRNA from 1 species